GACAGGUGCUGCAUGGCUGUCGUCAGCUCGUGUCGUGAGAUGUUGGGUUAAGUCCGCAACGAGCGCAACCCCUGUCUCUAGUUACCAUCAUUAAGUUGGGGACUCUAGAGAUACUGCCAAGGUUAACUUGGAGGAAGGUGGGGAUGACGUCAAGUCCUCAUGGCCUUUAUGUCCAGGGCUACACACGUGCUACAAUGGACGGUACAGAGGGUAGCGAUAUCGCGAGAUGGAGCCAAUCCCAAAAAGCCGUUCCCAGUUCGGAUUGGAGUCUGCAACUCGACUCCAUGAAGUUGGAAUCGCUAGUAAUCGCGGAUCAGCAUGCCGCGGUCGAAUACGUUCCGGGCCUU
rnacentral:rRNA from 1 species